CUCACAGAGGCGGAGUUGGAGGUGUUAAUGCACACUUAUGAAGAGUUUAAGCCAAUAAUAUUAAAAAGAAGCAAUACAGCUGCAUCGGCUAAAGCAAGAGAGUUGGCUUGGCAAAAAAUAACGGACAGAGUAAAUGUGUGUAAUCCUUCAGGAGCCACAAGAACUUUAAGCCAAAUCAAAAUGAAACACAAAAACAUUCUGCAAAAAGCUAAUAGAAAGAAGACUGAAGCCCAUCUAACUGGUGGGGGCCCACCACCACCUCCCCUCACCCCAUCUGAUCAGUGGUUGCUGGCAUUCCAGGGGGCAGUUCCUUGCACACACCAUGCACCACAAGUGAUGGUGAAAAAAUGGUGAAAUAUAAUGUAUACUUGGAUAUUUCUCCUGUAAGAUGAAGAUGAUGAAGAUGACGAUGAAGAGACCACAUCUGCUGUGACAGAAGUGGACAAUGCUGGUAGAUCCACUGAGGUAUGAUGCAUACCAUUAUAAUGUAUGGCCCCUUUUUGCAUUACAAACUGUCAUUGUCCUUUCACAGUACAUACCUAGGGAUUUGCCCACACAUGAGGGUCCUUCAACGUCAGCACACAAUCGAAGCAGGGUAAGAAUUUGUGUCCCGGUGUCCAUAUUUGAAUUUUAUUGUCUGACCAAACAAUCUCAUUCAUUAAAUUUUUUCCACCUUCCUAGUUGCCAGCAAAGGAGCUGUAUAAGGUCCAUCUUCAAAAACAAAUAAGAAAAAGUGACAUGUGACAUGGAGAUGGACCUUAUACAGCUUCAAAUGGAAGAGAAAAGGCUCCUCAUUAAAAAAGCAGUACUUGAAAUUGAAUUACUGGACCAUCGCCUUAAGGUGUUCCUCUGGCCAUCUUCCUCAAUACAAGGAGGGUGGCUCUCUCCUCUUAUAGUGGCAAUAUUGUGAAGCACAACACAAGCCACUAAAAUGUCGCAUACCCUCUCUGGACUAACCCGGAGCCCACGCAGACACUGAAACCGAGAUUUGAGGAUUUCUAUAGUCAUCUCCACCUUGGCCCGUGUUCGGUUGAGAGCCAGGUUAAACCGUGUCUGUGGUCCAGGCUCAGGUUCAGGAUUUUACUACAAAGGACAAACCUGCCACUCUGUGGAGUUCGUCUUUAAUAACAAGCAGAGGUUUAUGGCCAGGGAACUGCACCAAGGUGGAAACAUCAUAAAGAAAAGUAGUGAGGAAAGAAAUGAGCAGUCUGACGGAGAACUCGGCUCCGUCCUACCUCCGAGUCGGGACGACAGAGCUUUGCUCCCAGGGCAAAACCUCCACCAACACCAAGAGUCCCAAAGGCUCCUGUACAGAGCAGAAGGACAUGAGAACAGAAGCCGUGACACACACAACACUACAGACUCAGUGUAUCUGUCGGAGUCUGUAGAGAAGAUCAGAACUUUGUUAUAAUCAGGUUUUAGACGUAAGACACGGUCUGUUAUAUCGUCAUGACCGAGGAGCAGGACCACAUUAUUAGUUUUAUACCAAAAGCAUUCAUUUUAUUUUAUGAAGUUCAUAAAUAUUUUAUUGUGUUAAAAAUA